rnacentral:rRNA from 1 species
AGAGUUUGAUCAUGGCUCAGAACGAACGCUGGCGGCAGGCCUAACACAUGCAAGUCGAACGCUCUCGCAAGAGAGAGUGGCGCACGGGUGCGUAACGCGUGGGAAUGUACCUCUAGGUACGGAACAACCCAGGGAAACUUGGGCUAAUACCGUAUAAUAUCUUCGGAUCAAAGAUUUAUCGCCUAGAGAUCAGCCCGCGUAGGAUUAGCUAGUUGGUGAGGUAAUGGCUCACCAAGGCUACGAUCCUUAGCUGGUCUGAGAGGAUGAUCAGCCACACUGGAACUGAGACACGGUCCAGACUCCUACGGGAGGCAGCAGUGAGGAAUAUUGGACAAUGGGGGCAACCCUGAUCCAGCCAUGCCGCGUGAGUGAUGAAGGCCUUCGGGUUGUAAAACUCUUUUAGAUGUGACGAUGAUGACGGUAACAUCAGAAAAAGCUCCGGCUAACUUCGUGCCAGCAGCCGCGGUAAUACGAAGGGAGCGAGCGUUGUUCGGAAUCACUGGGCUUAAAGCGUGCGUAGGCGGAUUAGUAAGUAAGAAGUGAAAUCCCAGGGCUUAACCCUGGAACUGCUUUUUAGACUGCUUGUCUGGAAUUCGGUAGAGGUUGGUGGAACUCCUAGUGUAGAGGUGAAAUUCGCAGAUAUUAGGAAGAACACCGGUGGCGAAGGCGACCAACUGGACCGAUAUUGACGCUGAGGCACGAAAGCGUGGGUAGCAAACAGGAUUAGAUACCCUAGUAGUCC